GAACAUUUUAAGGCCUUCUCAGCUAUCUUUUUAUGUCUUGGUUUUAUUGUGGACUCCAGACCAUAAGUGAAGAAAGCUGGGAAAGCGACCAAAUCUUCCAAAGGCCUAGCCAUUGUAGUUUUGAAAUACUCAAAACUCUUCUUCAUAAUGUCGAGAUUUAGUGCAAGUACCUGGGGACAUCCCACGACCAUUUCUCUCACUUGUUCCGAGGAAAAACCACAUUCCUUGAGGAAAUCAACAUGCUUCACAACAGGUGCUUUACUGAGGCUGAUAAUCUGUGGCAUCUUUUCUAUAACUCGGCCAAAAUCUUCACGGGUAGAUUCAAUUAUUGAAUUGAGAAAUUCUUGUUGACUUGGAAGCUUUGGCUCCAUGUCGAUUCCUA
rnacentral:misc_RNA from 1 species